rnacentral:rRNA from 1 species
GAUGAACGCUGGCGGCGUGCCUAAUACAUGCAAGUCGAGCGAACGGACGAGAAGCUUGCUUUUCUGAUGUUAGCGACGGACGGGUGAGUAACACGUGGAUAACCUACCUAUAAGACUGGGAUAACUUCGGGAAACCGGAGCUAAUACCGGAUAAUAUUUUGAACCGCAUGGUUCAAAAGUGAAAGACGGUCUUGCUGUCACUUAUAGAUGGAUCCGCGCUGCAUUAGCUAGUUGGUAAGGUAACGGCUUACCAAGGCAACGAUGCAUAGCCGACCUGAGAGGGUGAUCGGCCACACUGGAACUGAGACACGGUCCAGACUCCUACGGGAGGCAGCAGUAGGGAAUCUUCCGCAAAGGGCGAAAGCCUGACGGAGCAACGCCGCGUGAGUGAUGAAGGUCUUCGGAUCGUAAAACUCUGUUAUUAGGGAAGAACAUAUGUGUAAGUAACUGUGCACAUCUUGACGGUACCUAAUCAGAAAGCCACGGCUAACUACGUG